AACUCUGGUAUUGAUUGGUGCUUGCUCAUGAUUUACAUUUGAGUGAGUGGCGAACUGGUGAGUAACACGUGGGAAACCUGCCCAGAAGCGGGGGAUAACACCUGGAAACAGAUGCUAAUACCGCAUAACAACUUGGACCGCAUGGUCCGAGCUUGAAAGAUGGCUUCGGCUAUCACUUUUGGAUGGUCCCGCGGCGUAUUAGCUAGAUGGUGGGGUAACGGCUCACCAUGGCAAUGAUACGUAGCCGACCUGAGAGGGUAAUCGGCCACAUUGGGACUGAGACACGGCCCAAACUCCUACGGGAGGCAGCAGUAGGGAAUCUUCCACAAUGGACGAAAGUCUGAUGGAGCAACGCCGCGUGAGUGAAGAAGGGUUUCGGCUCGUAAAACUCUGUUGUUAAAGAAGAACAUAUCUGAGAGUAACUGUUCAGGUAUUGACGGUAUUUAACCAGAAAGCCACGGCUAACUACGUGCCAGCAGCCGCGGUAAUACGUAGGUGGCAAGCGUUGUCCGGAUUUAUUGGGCGUAAAGCGAGCGCAGGCGGUUUUUUAAGUCUGAUGUGAAAGCCUUCGGCUCAACCGAAGAAGUGCAUCGGAAACUGGGAAACUUGAGUGCAGAAGAGGACAGUGGAACUCCAUGUGUAGCGGUGAAAUGCGUAGAUAUAUGGAAGAACACCAGUGGCGAAGGCGGCUGUCUGGUCUGUAACUGACGCUGAGGCUCGAAAGUAUGGGUAGCAAACAGGAUUAGAUACCCUGGUAGUCCAUACCGUAAACGAUGAAUGCUAAGUGUUGGAGGGUUUCCGCCCUUCAGUGCUGCAGCUAACGCAUUAAGCAUUCCGCCUGGGGAGUACGGCCGCAAGGCUGAAACUCAAAGGAAUUGACGGGGGCCCGCACAAGCGGUGGAGCAUGUGGUUUAAUUCGAAGCUACGCGAAGAACCUUACCAGGUCUUGACAUACUAUGCAAAUCUAAGAGAUUAGACGUUCCCUUCGGGGACAUGGAUACAGGUGGUGCAUGGUUGUCGUCAGCUCGUGUCGUGAGAUGUUGGGUUAAGUCCCGCAACGAGCGCAACCCUUAUUAUCAGUUGCCAGCAUUAAGUUGGGCACUCUGGUGAGACUGCCGGUGACAAACCGGAGGAAGGUGGGGAUGACGUCAAAUCAUCAUGCCCCUUAUGACCUGGGCUACACACGUGCUACAAUGGAUGGUACAACGAGUUGCGAACUCGCGAGAGUAAGCUAAUCUCUUAAAGCCAUUCUCAGUUCGGAUUGUAGGCUGCAACUCGCCUACAUGAAGUCGGAAUCGCUAGUAAUCGCGGAUCAGCAUGCCGCGGUGAAUACGUUCCCGGGCCUUGUACACACCGCCCGUCACACCAUGAGAGUUUGUAACACCCAAAGUCGGUGG
rnacentral:rRNA from 2 species